rnacentral:rRNA from 1 species
GACGAACGCUGGCGGCGUGCCUAAUACAUGCAAGUCGAACGCACUCUCGUUUAGAUUGAAGGAGUUUGCUCCUGAUUGAUAAACAUUUGCGUGAGUGGCGGACGGGUGAGUAACACGUGGGUAACCUGCCCUAAAGUGGGGGAUAACAUUUGGAAACAGAUGCUCAUACCGCAUAAAACCUAACACCGCAUGGUGUAGGGUUGAAAGAUGGCUUCGGCUAUCACUUUAGGAUGGACCCGCGGUGCAUUAGUUAGUUGUUGCGGUAAAGGCUCACCAAGACCGUGAUGGAUAGCCGAACUGAGAGGGUAAUAGGCCACACGAGGAGUGAGACACGGACCAGACGACUAAGGGAGGCAGCAGUAGGGAAUCUUACACAAUGGACGAAAGUAUGAUGGAGCAAGGCCGCGUGAGUGAAGAAGGUGUUCGGAUCGUAAAACUCUGUUGUUGGAGAAGAAUGUAUCUGAUAGUAACUGAUCAGGUAGUGACGGUAUCCAACCAGAAAGCCACGGCUAACUACGUG